rnacentral:rRNA from 1 species
GACGAACGCUGGCGGCGUGCUUAACACAUGCAAGUCGAACGGAGAGGCCCUGCUUUUGUGGGGUGCUCGAGUGGCGAACGGGUGAGUAACACGUGAGUAACCUGCCCUUGACUUUGGGAUAACUUCAGGAAACUGGGGCUAAUACCGGAUAGGAGCUCCUGCUGCAUGGUGGGGGUUGGAAAGUUUCGGCGGUUGGGGAUGGACUCGCGGCUUAUCAGCUUGUUGGUGGGGUAGUGGCUUACCAAGGCUUUGACGGGUAGCCGGCCUGAGAGGGUGACCGGCCACAUUGGGACUGAGAUACGGCCCAGACUCCUACGGGAGGCAGCAGUGGGGAAUAUUGCACAAUGGGCGGAAGCCUGAUGCAGCAACGCCGCGUGUGGGAUGACGGCCUUCGGGUUGUAAACCGCUUUCGCCUGUGACGAAGCGUGAGUGACGGUAAUGGGUAAAGAAGCACCGGCUAACUACGUG